AGAGCUUUUGAGGCUUUCUGGGAUGCCCAGGAGGGAUUCUGAGGUUCAGGAGGGCCAGCUGGGAAAGCUGUGGAGGGCUGUGGGCAGAGAUUCGUGGUCAGCUGACAGGACUGUGGACAGUGAGGCGGGUUCGGAGGUUCUAUGGCAGUGAGACUAGGAGCCAUCCAGGGUAGGGUCUGGCGGGAGUCGCGGCCCAUCUCCUGAGACUUGGUGAGGUUGAGUUGAAAGGCGACGUGCGAAUUAGUCGGAGGAGGAAACUUCAAGGCAGCACGGCAUUCGGACGUUGGCAUGGACAUUGCCGGAAGCUUUUAGCCAAGUUUGUGUUGUAAUCAGGAGCAGAAAGCAAAGCAAGAGAUUUGAGACAAGCAGUUUGUCCAAAAAAGUGGGAAUGAAACUGGGGGCAAGGAAGUUAUGAUCGUUAAAGGUAUUACACCCACCGACGAGAUGCCCAGCCCCUUCCACGAGACAAUAGCAAACACGUCUUGAGGGCGUCUGACGGAUGACAAGACCAUGACAUCGCAGGACCACGACAUCACAGGACCAUGACAUCACAAGACCACGACAUCACAAGACCAUGACAUCACAAGACCAUGACAUCACAGGACCACGACAUCGCAGGACCACGACAUCGCAGGACCAUGACAUCACAAGACCAUGACAUCACAGGACCACGACAUCACAAGACCACGACAUCACAGGACCACGACAUCACAAGACCACGACAUCACAGGAACACGACAUCACAGAACCCUGACAUCACAGGACCCUGACAUCACAGGACCCUGACAUCACAGGCUCAUACGUGCAAAGGGGAAAUUGCAUUGAGAAGAGAGCUGGGCGCCCUGUCUGCACAGCAGGGACGGAGGAAAGUUUCUCACGAUGUUCCGCCACCCAGGCACACGGAGGCUCCCGCCGUCAUGGUCCCAGGAGGCCUGAACAUGCUCCAGAUGGUGGCAGACCUUGCUCAGCCACAUGGUGACGAUGCUGCAGGCGUAGAGGGUGCUGGAGUCAAGGGUCAGGGAUCAAGAAGACAGGCCUGAGGGCAGGCGGAGGCAGCAGGGUCCGGGUCUCUGUGGGUGUCCCCAGAGAGAUGUGCGAAAAGGGAGGGGAAACCAAGCUGCCUGCCGUGGGGACAAGAUGAAGAGGUGCCAGGAACAUGCACCAUCUGCGACCAGGAACUGAGCAGGAGCCGGGGAGAGGCCCUGGGGCUGCAGCCAGCGCCCUGCGCAGAGCCGGGGGCCCCUGGGAGAGAGCGUCUCGGUGCUGUGUGCCCCUGACCCAGGGCCUGGAGCCAGGGGACUUGCUUGCCCUGCUGGACCGUGGUCUCGCCUGGUCCCCUCCCUUCUCUCUCUGCCUCUGUUUCUUCCUGUGGAGUGGGACGUUCACUUGGUGUCGUUGUUUCCUGGAUAUUCAUGACUCCUUUGACUUCUCACAGGGGCUGGCUCUAAGAGUGUCAGAGGAGACUUUGGACUUGGGCUUUGGGGUGAUGCUAGAAUCGUGGCCCUCUGGAAAAUGGACUACGUGUAUUUUGCGUUGGGGGUGGGCAUGAGGUUUUGGGGGUUGGAUGUGGAAGAUUAUGAUCUAGAUAUGAGAUGUCCCCCCAAAGCUCUCUUGCAAGAUAACACAAGGGUUCUCAGAGGUAAAAUGGUCAGGUUACGGGGGCUUUGACCUGAACGGUGCAUUGACCCCGAUGGACUAACUGGGUGGGAACUGUCUGCAGGUAAGGUUCAGGAGGCCAUCCGUCACACAGGGUGGCUUUGGGUGAAUGCUUGUCCCUGGUGAGCAGGACACGCCCUGCUUUCUUGUUGCUGUGUCCUGAGCUGCUUCCCUCCCCACACCCGUCCACCAUGAUGUCCUGCCCGCCUCAGCCCAGAGCUGGGAGUCCACGGACUGAGACCUCUGAAAGCACAAGCCAAAAU
rnacentral:lncRNA from 1 species